GUGCUCGCUUGGGCAGGACAUACACUAACGACGGAGCAUGAGAGAGAAGUCUAGCUGGGCCUCUGCCCAAGGAGGACACGCAAAUUCACGAGAGAGAGAAAUACCGU
rnacentral:snRNA from 1 species